GAUCCUGGCUCAGGAUGAACGCUAGCUACAGGCUUAACACAUGCAAGUCGAGGGGAAACGACAUCGAAAGCUUGCUUUUGAUGGGCGUCGACCGGCGCACGGGUGAGUAACGCGUAUCCAACCUGCCCACCACUUGGGGAUAACCUUGCGAAAGUAAGACUAAUACCCAAUGAUAUUUCUAGAAGACAUCUGAAAGAGAUUAAAGAUUUAUCGGUGAUGGAUGGGGAUGCGUCUGAUUAG
rnacentral:rRNA from 1 species